AAUGACAGGGAAAGUUGUCCCAGCAGGAAAAUUGACGCAGAGGCAUCGCCCCGCUGUUGUGGGGUCUCUGUCUGGAACAGCGCGUCCUGACCGCCUGUCCUGCUGCGGGACAAGCAGCUCUGCUAAAGGCUGCGCUAGUUCUGUUUCAAAGGGGUUUUGUUUUGUUUUGUUUUGUUUUUCUUUUUUUUGUUUGUUUGUUUUGCUUGUUGAUCACCUAGGACUGUUCCUAAAUUCCUAGAUUUAUACCAGUGGGUUGCAGGAUUUUUUCCUACUGGUGGAUUUUCAAUCGUAGAAUAUUCUGCAUUGGAAGGGACCCAUAAGAAUCAUCGAGUUCAGCUCCUGGCCCCGCACGGGACAACUCUGAGAAUUCCACUAUGUGCCUGAGAGUGUUGUCCAAACCUUUGCUAAUGUCCAAACCUUUGGAUGGUCCAGGUGUGGAAGGAAUGGGUGAGAAUGCAAAGGAGAACUAUUUCUUCAGCCAGGGCUGACUCCCUCCCUUGCUCAACAGCAUCACCUGUGUGAUUGACUUCCCCAGCUGAGACUAGCAAGAAUUAAUGAUGCCUGUUGAUACUCCUCAGGGUGCUACCAUCUUCUGCUCCCUCAGCACAGCUUCUGGUUGCAAUAAAUCAGAGGAACUGUUCAGAAUCUGAGGGUUUGUCAGCUAAAAACUGGGCUCAGUAAUGCACCUGGUUAAAUAACCGUCUGGGUAGUUCUUGAGGGGUUUUUGAAAGUAUUGUGCUGAAUAAAUGUAGUGUUUAACUGCUGCUAAGUUUAAAAUAUUUUUUAAAAUUUAUUUUCUGAUGUACUCCACCUGAAUUUCUCAUCAUUAAUAUUACAAAUGUGCUUGUUGA